GAACCACAUCGCCCGACCGUGCUCUUUAUUUUUCGGUGGAGCAGCUCUGCUUUCUCAGGUCUCUACUUACUUAUAUAAGAUGGCAUCAAGAAGAAGGACCUGACCACUGGCCCCUGACUACAUGGUCUUUGGAACCCGUGGCAUUGGAAGAUGUCAGAGACAUGGCACAUGGAUGUGAUCUUCAAAAACUGUUACAGCCUCAUCUCAUUGGAUUGGUCUACACAUCAAGGUGCUGGAAGUGUCGCAUGCCCAGAGAUGAUGUGGAAGCUCUAUACCCCUUUCCCUUCUGCCCACCUUGCCCUGUGCAUCUCUUCCUGAAUGGCUUCUCCUGAAUUGCCACUCUCCCAUAGGGCUGCUGCAGUUUGCUGGGGGUCCACUCCAGACUCUAAUCACCUAAAUCCCUCCUGCACAUGGAGGUAUCACCAAUGAAGCCUGAGAAACACCAAAGAUGGCAGUCUGCUCCUUCCUCAAGACUGUAUAUCUACCCAAUAGAAUACUAUAAAAUCACUGCAUGUCCACACAAGGAAUGCUGCACCAUCAAAGACUACACAAGGAACAAUUCUAUACAUUCUGAUAUAGAAAUUUCUCUUAAGACAUACCGUUAUAUAUAAAAAAUAAAUUGUAGAUCAAUACAUACAAUACAGUCCAAUUCACAUAAAAUAAACAAAACUGUGUGCAUAUACAUAUAUGUGAACUAAAAAAAUAUUGAGACAUAUAGACCAAAUUGUUAAUGAUAGUUAUAUUUGUGGAGGUGAAUAAAACUGGGGUUUAAGAAAGGAGUUAGGAUUGCUCCAUAUACAUCUGUUUGCUUGCAUUUUUAAGUAAAAUAUAUGUAUGUAUACCUUGUGUAAUUAACAAAGUAAACCAACAUAAAAAGAAAAAUCAUCAUGACCAGUAGAGGUUGUCUUUACAGUACAAUAAAUUUCUCUUUACAAAAAAUA
rnacentral:lncRNA from 1 species